GGGAAGAUUCCAGAGCGGCCAAAUGGAUCAGACUGUAAAUCUGACGUCUACGACUUCGGUAGUUCGAAUCUACCUCUUCCCACCA
rnacentral:tRNA from 4 species